rnacentral:rRNA from 1 species
UACAUGGGGUGCAAACGUUGCUCGGAAUUAUUGGGCGUAAAGCGCACGUAGGCGGUUUGUUAAGUCGGAUGUGAAAUCCCUCGGCUCAACUGAGGAAGUGCAUCCGAAACUGGCAGGCUUGAGUACUAAAGAGGGUCGCGGAAUUCCCGGUGUAGAGGUGAAAUUCGUAGAUAUCGGGAGGAACACCGGUGGCGAAGGCGGCGACCUGGGUAGAUACUGACGCUGAGGUGCGAAAGCGUGAGGAGCAAAAGGG